AACUUAAAGGAAUUGACGGAAGGGCACCACCAGGAGUGGAGCCUGCGGCUUAAUUUGACUCAACACGGGAAAACUCACCAGGCCCGGACACCGGAAGGAUUGACAGAUUGAGAGCUCUUUCUUGAUUCGGUGGGUGGUGGUGCAUGGCCGUUCUUAGUUGGUGGAGCGAUUUGUCUGGUUAAUUCCGAUAACGAACGAGACUCUAUCCUAUUAAAUAGACGCAUCCGGUAUCCGCAAUCGUGCUACCGGCGAAUAAAUUUCUUCUUAGAGGUACGGGCGGCUGCUAGCCGCACGAUACUGGGCAAUAACAGGUCUGUGAUGCCCUUAGAUGUCCUGGGCCGCACGCGCGCUACACUGAAGGAAUCAGCGUGUCUUCCCUGUCCGUGAGGACCGGGUAACCCGCUGAACCUCCUUCGUGAUAGGGAUUGGGGCUUGAAACUGUUCCCCAUGAACGAGGAAUUCCCAGUAAGCGCGAGUCAUAAGCUCGCGUUGAUUACGUCCCUGCCCUUUGUACACACCGCCCGUCGCUACUACCGAUUGAAUGAUUUAGUGAGGUCUUCGGACUGGCGCGCGGAGUCGGCUUCGUCGCCUCCGAUGUCGUCGGAAAGAUGACCAAACUUGAUCAUUUAGAGGAAGUAAAA
rnacentral:rRNA from 1 species